rnacentral:rRNA from 1 species
UGUGGAAAAAAAGUGUCAGUUCUGCUGAACCACGGAGGAUAUACCGGGUUUCACUCCCAAACCCCGGGACAAUCCUUAUUGUGUCUCAGCGAGCAAGGCGCUCUCCUCUGAAACCGACUAGCUCCCCCAAGAACCCAACACCCAUGCUUUAGGGUAUUUUGGGGGACCCCCACCCAUUAUCCAACCUUUAACAAAGGGGUUCCUGGUUUUGGCACGUGGAAAAUUUCAAGGGAAUAUCGAAUCUUGAAACGCACAUUGGGCCGCCAGUAUUCUGCGGCAUGCCUGUCGAGCGUCAUUUCAACCUCCAACCCGGGGUUGUGUUGGAUCGCGACCUCGCCUGCAGACAGCGGCCGAAAUCUAGUGCGUCUCGCUGUAGCCUCAUGCGUAGUAGCUAACACCUCGCAUCUGAACAGCAACGCGCCAAGCCGUUAAACCCCCAACUUCUGAAUGUGAACUCGGAUCAGGUAGGAAUACCCGCUGACUAG